UCUGUUAAGACAAAACCUGCUGUGGCUUCUCAAGAACACGGGUCGUUUCUGUUUUUCUCCUCUUCUUUCAGGUUCAGUUUCUUCAUCCAGGACCAAAUCCGCCUUGCCCGAGCUUGUUUCUGAGAGAAAAGUUGUCGGUUGAUGUAGCUAACACUUGAAACUCAAAGAGCGGGAGCUCCUUGAGCUUGACUUGGUUAGAAGCAGACUCAUUACCACUUAACGCAGACCGCAGCAACAAAUGCAACGCCUACCACUGGUGCUGUGAUCAUUAUAGCUCGCUUGCCAUGUGUUUCUACAAGAUUUGGUGAGAAAACAUAAGUCAGUUAAGUAAAAUUGAAAGGAGAGGAAAACAAGUGAGACUAGUAGAGGUUUUUACUCACGGAGUUCAGAAUGCGCAAGUCGAAUAUUAAGAUCAA